rnacentral:lncRNA from 1 species
GGCAACGCCUGUGCAGUAACCGUUACUGCUUGAUGACCCCCAAACCAGGUCCUGCAAAGCUACCCCCUACUCUCUCAACAGUCUUAGGCCCACCUGCACCCAGGUGAAAUAAACAGCCUUGUUGCUCACACAAAGCGUGUUGCUGGACUCUCUUCACAUGGACGUGCGUGACAUUUGGUGCCGAAACCUGGGACAGGAGGACUCCUUCGGGAGACCAGUCCCCUGUCCUCACCCUCUGUGAGGAGAUCCACCUAUGACCUCAGGUCCUCAGACCAACUAACCCAAGGAACAUCUCACCAAAUUCAAAUCGGGACCCCACUGGAAAUCAGACUGUCCAACUUGCCUGGCAGCCACUCCUAGAGUCCCUGGAACUCUGGCCCAAGGCUGUCUGACUGACUUCUUUCCAGAUCUUCUCGGCUUAGCGGCUGAAGACUGACGCUGUCCGAUCGCCUCAAAAACCUCCUGGACCAUCCCGGAUGCUUUGGGUAACUCUUACAGUGGAGGACAGGAAUGUCAGGCCUCUGAGCCCAACUAAGCCAUCA